CUACGGGUUGCUGCAGUGGGGAAUAUUGGACAAUGGGCGAAAGCCUGAUCCAGCCAUGCCGCGUGAGUGAUGAAGACCCUAGGGUUGUAAAGCUCUUUUGUGCGGGAAGAUAAUGACGGUACCGCAAGAAUAAGCCCCGGCUAACUUCGUGCCAGCAGCCGCGGUAAUACGAAGGGGGCUAGCGUUGCUCGGAAUCACUGGGCGUAAAGGGUGCGUAGGCGGGUCUUUAAGUCAGAGGUGAAAUCCUGGAACUCAACUCCAGAACUACCUUUGAUACUGAGGAUCUUGAGUUCGGGAGAGGUGAGUGGAACUGCGAGUGUAGAGGUGAAAUUCGUAGAUAUUCGCAAGAACACCAGUGGCGAAGGCGGCUCACUGGCCCGAUACUGACGCUGAGGCACGAAAGCGUGGGGAGCAAACAGGAUUAGAUUCCCCGGUAGUC
rnacentral:rRNA from 1 species